UACAGAGGUCCCCAAGCGUUGUUCGGAUUCACUGGGCGUAAAGGGUGCGUAGGUGGCGGGGUAAGUCUGACGUGAAAUCUCCGGGCUCAACCCGGAAAUGGCGUUGGAAACUAUCCGGCUGGAGGAGUGGAGGGGGACUGGAAUUCUCGGUGUAGCAGUGAAAUGCGUAGAUAUCGAGAGGAACACCAGCGGCGAAGGCGAGU
rnacentral:rRNA from 1 species